ACCACAUCCUGUCAUUGUUACAUUACAUAUUUUCAACUGAAUUCAACUGUUUGCUUUAUUAGAGAGAAACAAUGACAAGAGAAGGAGGUUCACACAGACUCAGAAGAAUGAAAAGAGUUUGGCUUUUUCUAUUUGCUUGUAUCUUUGUUGUCGUGUGUGUAUCUGUGUUUGUGUAUUUAUAUGUAGCCAAAAAUAAUGACGACAAAAACGAUAAAAGUCAUUCAGUUAAUACUGAUGUUGAAGUUACAUUCGAACUUGAUAAUGAAUAUGAUGGUGAUGGUGAUUAUGAGUAUGACGAUCCACCAAAUAACACAACAACUCUCAAGAACAAUGUAUCAGCCACAGCUGAGUCUGUUGUUCCAGUUAUAUUCAAGGGUUAAAGUUAGGGGGAAUGGGGAGGAACGCAGUUCCGCCACCUCAGAUAAAUAAUAAAUACAUUCUUUCAUAUCAAUGAUAUAGCGCAAUGAUAUUGUUAAAAUAAAUAGUGAGUUAAUUUUUCGUGUGAAUAUGCUGUCCAACGGUGAGUCAUUUUUCCCCGUUGCACCGACACUGGAUUUUAGGGUUCCCUCAGCUGCUAAAUCCCACUUUAACCACUGGUUAUAUUCACACUUCAUGGUGAGGGUGAUGGCUAUGAUUAUGAGUAUACCAAUCAACCAGACGACACGGACCAUACCACAACUCUCAGGACUAGUCCCUCUACCAGCCCUUUAUGAUGAAUGAGACACCUGGGCAUGAGGAUCACCUUGAAGAUACACCUGCCUCCAUUUUAUUAACACAUAAGGAUUAUGUUGGCAGUGAGUAUGACAAUCUCCCUCUUUCUUCUUCACUGAUUAAGCAUGUGGGACUACUUGCCUAACCACAGAAAACACCGGAAGCUUGCUCGCCCUCUUCAUCUUUUGAGAACACUGGUGGUGGCUGUGGUAACUGUACGGCAUAGGGUUCAACAGCCUCUUAAGUGUUCCUCAACACCCAUAAAGUGCAGCAUGUUAAACAAGAAAAAAAAUCACUUAAAAUGUCAUAGCACAAAAUUCUGAGCUUAUUUUUCUGUGUGUUAUGUUUUAUUUAUCUUUCCUGUGAUUUGGAUGUAGGCUAGUGGUUGGACAAGAUGUUUUAUGUUAGUCUACUGCACUGCAGCAGACAGGGUAUCAGUUUCACAAGGUGGGAUUGUUAAGUACAAUCUAAAUGUGAACCGAAACCAAAAGAACUGUCAAACGUUCACACUGACUUAGAAAAAUAUAAAUAAAAGGUUGCAGUUUGCUUGUGUCAUUCUUGUUGGUUAGUUUCAGGUAAAUUUAGUUGCAAGCUAAUUCAUCUAACCACUUUGUACAUGCAUUGCAUUGGCUGUUUUAACCACUUGCUUAACUGCAUUUAUAAUCCUGCACUGACAUUAUUGUGUGUGUGUGUGUGUGACUAGCAUGACUAUCAACUAGACUACAGAGCAACACCCAGUCACCUGAACAACAUUUUACCAUUUCUAAAGACAUACCCUCCUGAGAACCGAGAAAAAAAGUGUCCUCCAAUUUCUUUUAUGUUCCGUUUUCCUAUCUGUUUAGGAU